UUUGUCGUUAGUCGUUCUAUCUUUUUUUUUCAUCUCGCUGUUCUUUGGUCUUCUGACUGGCCUGCGCACCCGAAAGGAAAGACCGAAAGAGAAAAGAUGCUCCAGCGCCCUGAUCAUACUCUUCUGCAGGAUCCUUCGUAUCCGAAGGAUAUUGAGCAGAAGCUGACGGAGAAUGGGCCAGCACAGGCUGGCAAGCAGCUUUUUCAGCCGGAUCUCGCCGUUAUUGACCCGCAGCUGAGCGAGGCCGUCUCUCUGGGCACAACAAUUCUUGCUGUAUCGUACAAAGGCGGUGUUGUUCUUGCCGCGGACUCGCGCACUUCGUCCGGCACGUAUGUCGUGAAUCGUGCCAGCAACAAGCUGACGAAGCUGACCGAGAAGAUUUAUUGCUGUCGAAGUGGUUCUGCCGCGGAUACACAGGCUCUCGCUGAGCGCGUCUCGAACUACCUCGGUAGCUAUCAAACGGAUAUCGGCGCAGACGUGAACGUUGCCACGGCAGCGAAUCUGUUUCACAAAAUGUGCUACGUGAACAGAUGGAACAUCUCGGCGGGCAUCAUCGUCGCUGGGUACGACCCGAUCAACGGAGGCUCAGUGUACAGCAUCCCAUCUGGCGGGUCAUGCGUAAAGCUCGACUAUGCACUUGGCGGCAGCGGCUCCAUUUUCCUGUACUCUUUCUUUGAUGCCAACUAUAAACCGGGUAUGUCGAAGAGCGAGUGCGUUGCCUUCUGCCAGCGUGCUGUUGCGCACGCGUACAGCCGCGACGGCUCCAGCGGCGGUCUGAUCCGGACGAUCACUCUCGACGCUGAAGAGGCAGAGGACCUGACGGUCCCGUGGAAACGGUCGCCCUACUGCAUGGAGAAGGAUCCAAAAUAUCAGGUGCAGGCCGUGCAGAACCCGCCCUUCAGCAGCAGCGCCAAGGUUACCGGAAAUCGGAUGUCUUCGACAGGGUGAGAGCGGAUUCUGUUGCACGAGCCGCGUUAUUAUCUACGUGCUCUUUCGUUUUCGUUUUCUUUCUGUAUCUGACGUAUGUAGGCGUACUUGCUUCUCUGGCUCUGACUUGUCAAAACCUCUACGGAUGGAGUAUUGAGACCGUGGCCAAGAGCGGCUGGAUG
rnacentral:misc_RNA from 1 species